rnacentral:SRP_RNA from 1 species
GCCAGGCGUGGUGGCGGGCGCCUGUAGUCCCAGCUACUCGGGAGGCUGAGGCAGGAGAAUGGCGUGAACCUGGGAGGCGGAGCUUGCAGUGAACAGAGACUGUGCCACUGCACUCCAGCCUGGGUGACAGAGUGAGACUCUGUCUACNNNNNNNNNNGUAGACAGAGUCUCACUCUGUCACCCAGGCUGGAGUGCAGUGGCACAGUCUCUGUUCACUGCAAGCUCCGCCUCCCAGGUUCACGCCAUUCUCCUGCCUCAG